rnacentral:rRNA from 1 species
ACUCCUACGGGAGGCAGCAGUAAGGAAUAUUGGACAAUGGGCGCAAGCCUGAUCCAGCCAUGCCGCGUGAAGGAUUAAGGCCCUAUGGGUUGUAAACUUCUUUUAUACGGGACAAAACCUUCCCUCGUGAGGGGAGCUGAUAGUAUGGUGAGAAUAAGCAUCGGCUAACUUCGUGCCAGCAGCCGCGGUAAUAC